AACGCAAAUUGCGCUUUCGGGAUAGUCCUGAAAGCACGCCUCUUUGAGUAUCGAUUCAACCAACGCUCUACGGCGUGCUUAUUUAUUUAAGCAUUGCGCAGUAGGAGUUGAACUGAGUUUCAUAGCCGUUAAAAGCUAUGUGACUUUAAGCAACGACAGACGUUCCUGGAUGCUAGAAAGCAUUAAGUUGAACCUGUCGGCCAAAAGCAAUGCGGUUAAUUUGUCCUUCGGGGUGAAUACGACAUGCGUUUGUUUGAAGCUGACGUUCUCUUAGGAGAAAGGGUUUAGCCGAAGCUAUCAGGCGACUUGGAGCCACUUCCUAGUCUUCGGACUAGGAAAUCUCUUUCGAUUUAGAUCUCAAAUGAAGCGAGAAAACCCGCCGAACUUAA
rnacentral:misc_RNA from 1 species